CAGCAGCCACGGGAAUACGUAGGGUGCAAGCGUUAAUCGGAAUUACUGGGCGUAAAGCGUGCGCAGGCGGUUAUAUAAGUCAGAUGUGAAAUCCCCGGGCUCAACCUGGGAACUGCAUUUGAGACUGUAUGGCUAGAGUGUGUCAGAGGGGGGUAGAAUUCCACGUGUAGCAGUGAAAUGCGUAGAUAUGUGGAGGAAUACCGAUGGCGAAGGCAGCCCCCUGGGAUAACACUGACGCUCAUGCACGAAAGCGUGGGGAGCAAACAGGAUUAGAUACCCCAGUAGUCCCUGUCUCUUAUAC
rnacentral:rRNA from 1 species